AUAAUGUUUAGGUUAAUAUUUUGACUGGUCUUGAAGCAUUGGAUCGGUAGCUAAUUGCAAGAGGGAUGAUUUUAGAAAGAAAUUCAUGGCAGCCAAUCCUUACUUUGGAAAGGCAGUGACGAGGGUGAGUACAAGGACAAGAAGAAGAAAUAUAUGUUGUUUGACAAUGAAUUUAGUGUUUUAUUAUAUUUGUAAUUUUUAUUAGAGUAAAUGAUUCUUGUUUGAAUGGUUAAUUAUUUGCUUUGUAAAUCUA